UACGUAGGGGGCAAGCGUUGUCCGGAAUCAUUGGGCGUAAAGAGCGUGUAGGCGGCCCGGUAAGUCCGCUGUGAAAGUCCAGGGCUCAACCCUGGGAUGCCGGUGGAUACUGUCGGGCUCGAGUCCGGAAGAGGAGUGUGGAAUUCCUGGUGUAGCGGUGAAAUGCGCAGAUAUCAGGAGGAACCCCAAUGGCGAAGGCAGCACUCUGGGACGUGACUGACGCUGAGACGCGAAAGCGUGGGGAGCAAACAGG
rnacentral:rRNA from 1 species